rnacentral:lncRNA from 1 species
AUCUCAGGAUUUCAGAUAAGCUCUUGUUUUUUUCACAGGCUCCCUGGUAAUGUAGGAUGGGCUCGAAACCCAGGCUUUGAUGUGAGUAGAACUCCACCUAGUCUUUGGACAUAAAGAUAUGCAUAUAAAUUGUUCCUGUUUUGGUUUUCUAGCAAAUUAACCGGGAGCUGAAGAACCGGUUUGGUAUGACCAGCACCUCUGAGGCUCAUCUGAAAGAGAACGAGACCUCUAAGCCCAUCUCUGACUUCAAACAGAAGAAAGUAGUAGAAGCAGUGAAGGAGGAACUACAGAGACAAGGUCCCUCUGUGCCCCCACUGCCCCUUCUAAGGCAAAGAUCUCUUCUACGACCAUCAUCAUCAGUUCCAUCCAAUUGUGGAGCACCACCUCCUCCCCUUCCUCCUCCAGUCCCUCCACACACUGCUCCCCUAAUACAAGCUUAUGGAAUGAACACAGGACAACAUCCAGACAGCAACAUUGCAAAAUUAAGGACACGUAAAUAUGGUGAUAAAUAUUAGUCUGCCCCAAACUCAUCUUUCAGAGUUCAGAGUCAUUGGACAUUGAGUUACAAUAAACAGGACGUUAUUCUGAUUUUGUUUAAUGAC